UACGGGGGGAGCAAGCGUUGUUCGGAUUUACUGGGCGUAAAGGGCGCGUAGGCGGCUCUACAAGUCACUUGUGAAAUCUCCGGGCUUAACUCGGAACGGUCAAGUGAUACUGUCGAGCUAGAGUACAGAAGGGGCAACUGGAAUUCUCGGUGUAGCGGUGAAAUGCGUAGAUAUCGAGAGGAACACCUGCGGCGAAGGCGGGUUGCUGGGCUGAUACUGACGCUGAGGCGCGAAAGCCAGGGGAGCGAACGGG
rnacentral:rRNA from 1 species